AUUGAACGCUGGCGGCAGGCCUAACACAUGCAAGUCGAACGAGUGGCGGACGGGUGAGUAAUGUCUGGGAAACUGCCUGAUGGAGGGGGAUAACUACUGGAAACGGUUGCUAAUACCGCAUACCAUCGGAUGUGCCCAGAUGGGAUUAGCUAGUAGGUGGGGUAAAGGCUCACCUAGGCGACGAUCCCUAGCUGGUCUGAGAGGAUGACCAGCCAAACUGGAACGGAGAAACGGUCCAGACUCCUACGGGAGGCAGCAGUGGGGAAGAUGGAACAAUGGGCGCAAGCCUGAUGAAGCCAGGCCGCGUGGAUGAAGAAGGCCUUCGGGUUGUAAAGUACGUUCAGCGGGGAGGCGGUACCCGAAGAAGAAGCACCGGCUAACUCCGUGCCAGCCGCCGCGGUAAUUC
rnacentral:rRNA from 1 species